rnacentral:lncRNA from 1 species
GUGGGAAUUAGUUGUUUUAGUUUGAGUUCCAUUGACUUCUUCACCACAUCGUUUAAAUGCUUUGAGCCAAAGCGACUCCUUUUCCUUAGGAGGUGGCUGCAAAUCAAAAGGCGCCUCACAACUGCACUCGCUCCUCAAAAAGGUUUGGUGGUCAAACACUCCUGCUCCAUGAACAGCUUCUGUUAAUUAUUGUGGCAACCCCUUACAGAACAUAAAAUUACCAUUUUCCAUGAAUCCAUGUUUGGAAAGUUGUGAGAAGCGAUACUGAGUUAGUUAGCUAGCUGUGAACUAUUGGCCGGAAGCGCUUAACCAGAAGUCCCCCACAAAAAAACCUAAACAGAAUCAACCCAUAUUUCCAUAGAUAAUGAGGUGAAUAGGACACAAUAUGGAUGAUUGGAGGGUUGUGGGUAAUUCCGUCAGCCAGGAGAUUCCAUUCCAGAACAUUGUGAAAUGGAACAUUCCGGAAUGUUCGAUGAUUGAUAAUAAUACAUCUCACAGUUCAGACCAGGCAGUGAGAUUGGUCCUUAGAAGAAUAAGAGUCCACCUUUUGUCCAACUAGUAGUUAGAGAAUAAAUUACAUUAUUGUAUAGUGAGAAUAUGAUGUCAUAUAGAAUGAGUGCUAUGGUCUCCAACAUGGCGUGGCUCUUGAGCCCCUAACUGUUGUCUGACCAUCCCAGGUAGGUGUUUCUUUUGGGGAGCAGAGAUGGGCUAGAGGUAUUGCCCAACUAAUGGUUUUCUGAUCUUCCCAGGUAGGGGUGUCUCUUUUUGGGGUGGGGCCAGGGCCUCGGGACAGAUGGGAGAGUGGAGAUCCAUGGAGGAGUUCGUUUUACCCCCCCGACAGCCUUAAUGAGUCUGUGUUUGGGGAUAGAGGGGGAACUAGGGAUGGAGGCUGUGGGGCUAAAUAUGGGCACCCUGUCCUUUAGGCCAUACCCACAGGAAGUGUCACUAAAUUAUAUUGUCAAACAGAUGCAUGGACAGCAUGAUGUUCUGGCAGGAAGGGACAAAAAGCAGUAAGAAGCAGUAGGAGAAAACACUUAAACCGUUCAAAAGCAGAAACAUGUUCUUAAACAAAUAAAGAGUUUCUUUCCAAAACACUAUAUAUCAAUUAAUAGAAAUGUUUGAAAAUUACCUUUUUUGUUUCAAUAACUUAAUUUAUUUAACCAGGUAAGUUGACUGAGAAUACAUUCUCAUUUACAGCAACGACCUGGGGAAUAGUUACAGGGAGAGGUGGGGGAUGAAUCAGCCAAUUGGAAGCUGGGGUUGAUUAGGUGACCGUGAUGGUAUGAGGGCAAGAUUGGGAAUUUAGCCAGGACACCAGGGUUAACACCACUACUCUUAUGAUAAGUCCCAUGGGAUCUUUAGUGACCACAGAGAGUCAGGACACCCGUUUAACAUCCCAUCCGAAAGAGGGCACCCUACACAGGGCAAUGUCCCCAAUCACUGCCCUGGGGCAUUGGGAUAUUUUAAGACCAGAGGAAAGAGUGCCUCCUACUGGCCCUCCAACACCACUCCCAUCCAGGGACCAAUCCUGCUUAGCUUCUGAAGCAAGCCAGUAGUGGGAUGCAGGGUGGUAUGCUGCUGGCAAACAUGUUCCCAUCAUAUUGUAUCAGAUGGAGUGGAUUAAUAAACAUUGUAAGACUCCAACCAUCUGCAUCUAGGUCUCACCUUGUGCCUUGAUAAUAUCAGUCAUCCCCUGGAACAAAACACUCACACACACCCAUAUAUAGAGCAAUACUUUUGACUAUGGGCUCUGGUCAAAAGUAUAGCACUAUAUUGGGAUUAGGGUGCCAUUUGAGACAGAAACAGUGUAACAGAAUAUGACAUUGGUAUGUUGUACCAAUACAGACAUCAGUUUGUAGCGGUACUGUUAGAGAGAGGUAAAGAUAAAAGGUUAUGUUCAGGCGCCAGACAGGUAUUAACCCUGCUGAACUGGAAAGAGUAGGAUAGACAGAGAACCACUACCAGACAUCAGCAGAAGAGACUGCCUAUAGGGUAGCCUGUUGGCCAGAUAGCCAGUGGAGGAAAAUACACCAUAUAAAAACACACGUCACAGCACAGGGGUAACGCAACCAAUAAUACCUCACACAAAAUAAAUGUCAAAGCAAUUCAAAAGCAACUUCCUAUAAACAAUGGACAAGAAAGAACUGUUAAGUUGCGUCAAUUCGAUCUGGUAUCGGAACAAAAUAGUCAGUACAUACUAACUUCUGAUUUCUUUGUACUUUAAAAUAAUGCAAACUCUUGAAGAGGGUAAAUAGGUGGAUUCGUAUACGGCUCCUGUAACACCUCGCAGGGCAAAACAGAGAACUGGAAUAACAUCACAAGUUUUACUUUAAAUACUUCUUGACAGACUUAGUUCCCUCUCCC